rnacentral:rRNA from 1 species
GACGAACGCUGGCGGCGUGCUUAACACAUGCAAGUCGAACGGUAAGGCCCUUCGGGGUACACGAGUGGCGAACGGGUGAGUAACACGUGGGUGAUCUGCCCUGCACUUCGGGAUAAGCCUGGGAAACUGGGUCUAAUACCGGAUAGGACCACUGCCUGCAUGGGUGGUGGUGGAAAGCUUUUGCGGUGUGGGAGGGGCCCGCGGCCUAUCAGCUUGUUGGUGGGGUGAUGGCCUACCAAGGCGACGACGGGUAGCCGGCCUGAGAGGGUGACCGGCCACACUGGGACUGAGGUACGGCCCAGACUCCUACGGGAGGCAGCAGUGGGGAAUAUUGCACAAUGGGCGCAAGCCUGAUGCAGCGACGCCGCGUGAGGGAUGACGGCCUUCGGGUUGUAAGCCUCUUUCAGCACCGACGAAGCGCAAGUGACGGUAGGUGCAGAAGAAGGACCGGCCAACUACGUGCCAGCCGCCGCGGUAA